rnacentral:rRNA from 1 species
CGAUGAUGCAUAGCCGAGUUGAGAGACUGAUCGGCCACAUUGGGACUGAGACACGGCCCAAACUCCUACGGGAGGCAGCAGUAGGGAAUCUUCCACAAUGGACGCAAGUCUGAUGGAGCAACGCCGCGUGAGUGAAGAAGGGUUUCGGCUCGUAAAGCUCUGUUGGUAGUGAAGAAAGAUAGAGGUAGUAACUGGCCUUUAUUUGACGGUAAUUACUUAGAAAGUCACGGCUAACUACGUGUCAGCAGCCGCGGUAAU